ACACGUACCGUACGAACGUUAUUCGGAAUUAUUGGGCUUAAAGGGUGCGUAGGCGGCGUCGUAAGUCGGGUGUGAAAUCCCUCAGCUCAACUGAGGAACUGCGCCCGAAACUGCGACGCUUGAGGGAGACAGGGGUGAGCGGAACUGAUGGUGGAGCGGUGAAAUGCGUUGAUAUCAUCAGGAACACCGGUGGCGAAAGCGGCUCACUGGGUCUCUUCUGACGCUGAGGCACGAAAGCUAGGGUAGCGAACGGGAUUAGAAACCCGAGUAGUCC
rnacentral:rRNA from 1 species